rnacentral:rRNA from 1 species
GAUGAACGCUGGCGGCGUGCCUAAUACAUGCAAGUCGAGCGAACGGACGAGAAGCUUGCUUCUCUGAUGUUAGCGGCGGACGGGUGAGUAACACGUGGAUAACCUACCUAUAAGACUGGGAUAACUUCGGGAAACCGGAGCUAAUACCGGAUAAUAUUUUGAACCGCAUGGUUCAAAAGUGAAAAACGGUCUUGCUGUCACUUAUACAUGGAUCCGCGCUGCAUUAGCUAGUUGGUAAGGUAACGGCUUACCAAGGCAACGAUGCAUAGCCGACCUGAGAGGGUGAUCGGCCACACUGGAACUGAGACACGGUCCAGACUCCUACGGGAGGCAGCAGUAGGGAAUCUUCCGCAAUGGGCGAAAGCCUGACGGAGCAACGCCGCGUGAGUGAUGAAGGUCUUCGGAUCGUAAAACUCUGUUAUUAGGGAAGAACAUAUGUGUAAGUAACUGUGCACAUCUUGACGGUACCUAAUCAGAAAGCCACGGCUAACUACGUG